CGCUCUUUUAUAUAUUUUAAAUCCAGUAAUGAGUGUUUAUUUUUGUUCAUCAGUGAAUGAAAACGGUUAUUAUCCUGAUAUGAAUUCAGCUUAUGAUCCUGAAUUUAUAUUGUUAAAGCAGUCAAUGAUAUUAUUUCAGAGUUAUAACUGACUUAGCAAAGUCACGUUAUUUAUUUAAGCGAGAUGGAAUUUAAUUUUAUUUUUACUCAGGUCGUGAAUUAUUUCCGACUCAAGAAGUUAAUUAAAUCUGCGGAUUUAAUUUAGAUAUCAGAACAACGAACGAAUUAAAUCUACGGAUUUAAUUUAGAUUCAUUUUAUAAUUUAUCGGUUUUAGUGAGAAAUCACAUGUCGAAAUACGAGAUUUAUUUAAAUAAACAGUAUCAAGCAUAUACGAGCACACGAUCCAUCUUACAGUUACAGAAUCACCGAGACAGAGAAAAUACAUCAAUAAUUCUCCUCUACAUUUUUUUUCCUUUCUUUUUCUUCUCUUUUUCUUUCCAUUAAUUUUGUUCCCCACUCCAUCAACUCCACUACCCUAUGCUCCCCACCAUCACCACUACCUUUGCUCCCCAUCAACUCCAACACUUCACCCAUUCCUUCCAUUUCGCACCAGCAAUCACAAAGAGAAGGAAGACUUGGCUUAACUACUUUGCCAAGAUUUCAAGCUGCUCCAGUCCAGUAGUACCCCAACACUCGAAGCUAGAGUUUAUUGGGUGAAAAACCGUGCAUGAGGUAAGGCAGCGAAUCUGCCAUAAGCACACUGCUCCGGCAGUGUUUUGCAAGGCGAUUUCAGCCAUCCAAACGGUUCCCAAAAAUUCCCAAAUUAAUUGUGUAUCAUCUUUCAUACAUUUUCUAUAUUUUGGUAAAAUUUCAGAAUAUUUAGAGCUCGCAUGAUUUAUUUAUGAAUUUGUAAACAUCACUGCCCAUCUGGAAUACAUUUUUGGUAAACAAUCUUUGGGAGAUCAUAAGUAAAGUUUCACUCGGUGAAAACCUUUGAAACUUGAAUAUGUCACUCUAGACUCCCGUAUCUUUCUUUUGACAUCGGCCUCACCAUUUUUGAGUAAGGGAAACAACCGGUAUAAAUUCUUGAAAUCUAGUUCUUAUUCCAUGUACCAUCCAGUAGAUUUUACAAACCUACGACUUUGAGGUGGAAAAGGCCGACUUAAAUAUUUGAUUCUCAAGCCUAUCUUUCUACUGAAUAUUCACUGACAUGUUGGGAACUUACUUGUUCAGUUUUAGAAUUUUUGGUGAAGCUUAAAGUGGUUUUUCCGAUUUAUGUUCUGAAUCUGCCAAACUUGAACUCUUUUUGUGCACUGAAAUUUAGAUAGUCAUAUCUUCUAAACCAUGAAGGUUCUUAGAGUAAAUCCAACUGGAGAGUGUUAUGAUCUCUCCCUAGUUUCCAGAUUGACCUUUGGGGUUCCCAGUGGAGUUUUGUAAAGGGAGAUAUGAAUUUUUAAAGAAAGCCCACUGACUUGGUUGUAAUCUGGAAAUAUGAAAUUUACAGAUUUUUGCUUGUUAAAUACCCAUCUUUGAGAGGGCAUAUCUUGCUCGUUUGAAUUGUUUUUCAUUCGAUUCAAAUUGGAGAAUGAUCCUUGAAAUGUCUAGUUUCCAGAAUGUCUUUUGGAGCCUCAUUUGGAGAUCCGAGGUAGAUUUGGUGUCUGUUGUAAAACAACCCCUUAAGAGCUCAAGUUGUUGAAUUAUUUUCUAUGUAUCAAAGUUUAUUUUAAAGGAUGUUUCGUGAAAGAUUUAGUAUAUGUGCGUAACAAGUUUGGGACUAUUUAUUUUAAUGAGGUCCGUUCUUUAUUUAAAUUAGGAUGGACUUUUAAUGAAUAUUUUUGGGAUUAAACUAUUAUUUCUUGAUUUAUAUAAAUUAUUUUUAAGGACUUAUAAAUAUGAAUUUCGUAGGCCUACUGACCUACUGUGAUCGACGGUUUGUCGAUGUCUAACAGCUUUGAAAAUUUUAUAGCAAGUCCCUACAUGAGUCUUGAGUACCCUGGUAAAAUUUCAAGCCAUUCCAACUUCGUAUGAUACUUCUUUAAAAUGUAAAACCUAAACUGCACAUUACUACUGAGAAUUUCAGAGAACAGAGAAAAGAGUCAUUUAUUUCAGUAGCUUCCUGGGUGAUCUAGCUUUCCAAAUUUUUAUGGUAUUAACCUUAUUGUGUUAUUUAGAUAUCCACCAAAGUUGAGCCCAGUUUGACAACGUUUACUAUUUUUCAAAAAUACAAGUUUUCGAUUGUUUAAAACUGCCGAACAUGGUAGAUCGUGGUAAAAACGUCAUAUCUCUCAAACCACUUGGAGUUUUCGACUCUAUUUUUUUUUAUAUGAAACUAGACUCGAAGAUAUUUCUUUCGGUAUGAGUCUCGAGUCCAGGAGAUGUCGGAGUCAGAACAGAUUAAAUUUUGAAGUUGAGUCAGUGUAAAAGCAGAGCAUGUUUUGAUGAUGUUUGAUUGUGAUUCUUAUGUGCCUUAUGUUGAGCCUUUUUAUUUUAUUUUAUUUUUUUUUAAUUUUAUAACAUUACUUGUUCUUAUUUAUUAAGCCCGAUUAAUUAUGAGAUUAUAAAGCGAAUAAGUUGAAGUAUUUAUUUUCUAUUGACUACGAGGAGCGGGGUUUAUUUAAUUGACGGAUUAGAACACCCCGAAGAGAACGGAUUAAUUUUUGUUAAUUAUCCGGCUUCAUGAGACGAGACUUAGCUUUUGUUUAAAUCCGAUAGCCUGGAUUAACAAUAGAAAUUCCCUGAUUAUUAUCUCAGAAUAAUAGUUCAUGCAUACGAGAUUCAUGCAUAGUUUAAUUACGCAUUCUCAUUUAAUUGAGAAUUUUCCCUCGAUUUAAAGUCUUACGUUAUUUUCUCGGAUUAAAGGUCGAGCGCAAGAAUAAGAGCUCGUCAAGGAGUCACUAAUCUGUAGCAAAGCUUUGCUAUCAGGUGGGCAUUACUUUCAUAUAUAUAUCAAAUGAGUUUAAAUGUUACGUUCAAGCAAGUUAUUUCAUGACUAAAUUAAUUGAAGUUAUUUCAAAUAUUGUCUUGCCAUAAAAUGUUUAAAUUUCAGUAUGAUAUCUAUCUGAUGUGACUUUAAUCAUGUAAUCGAAUUCGGGUCUUGAGCAGUUGAUAGCUAUCCUGCCAGGGCUAGUGUACACCAGUGACCGUGAGUCAUCUAGCGGGUUGGCCGGUCAAGUGUCCGUGAGAGGUGGCCACCUCUCCGGCACACAGUUCCAGAUAUGAUAGAUUACAAGAGAACUUAGUCUGCAGACGAACUUUAAGAAUCACAAAUGAAUUUAGUAAGCUUGGGCCUUUUUAGAGAAAAACUCCCUUGCUGUACUGUUUAUGAUGGCAUGACAAUUUACAACUUUACGAAGCAUGUUAUAUUUCAUAGUGGGCAUUACUUUCAUAUAUAUAUCAAAUGAGUUUAAAUGUUACGUUCAAGCAAGUUAUUUCAUGACUAAAUUAAUUGAAGUUAUUUCAAAUAUUGUCUUGCCAUAAAAUGUUUAAAUUUCAGUAUGAUAUCUAUCUGAUGUGACUUUAAUCAUGUAAUCGAAUUCGGGUCUUGAGCAGUUGAUAGCUAUCCUGCCAGGGCUAGUGUACACCAGUGACCGUGAGUCAUCUAGCGGGUUGGCCGGUCAAGUGUCCGUGAGAGGUGGCCACCUCUCCGGCACACAGUUCCAGAUAUGAUAGAUUACAAGAGAACUUAGUCUGCAGACGAACUUUAAGACUCACAAAUGAAUUUAGUAAGCUUGGGCCUUUUUAGAGAAAAACUCCCUUGCUGUACUGUUUAUGAUGGCAUGACAAUUUACAACUUUACGAAGCAUGUUAUAUUUCAUAGUAGGCAUAUGUGCCCACUGAGUACUUUUGUACUCAGCCCUGCAUAUAUUUCUAAAUGUGCAGGUUGAGCAGCUGCCGAUGGUGAUGAAGUGACGAGCGGGACUCUUUUGUCUUAUUAUGUAUUAAUGAACUCUAGGGUUACAUGUCUUCAUACAUGUAAUCAGAACCUUAUUCCGCUGCGUACUCAGAAGUUUUAUGUUAUUUUGGAUAAGUCGGAGUUAUCCGAACCUGUUAGUUAUUUGAGUCUAUACGACAAAAACUCUGUUAUAUUAUAGAUAUCUAUGUUGUUAACAAUGAUGAAAUACGAUCCUUUCUUGUUUGAUUA